GUGUACAGCAGUGUGUGUGCACAGCCACAGGCAGCCUGUGCUGAGAUGGGCUGUGGAAACUCUACAGCCACCAUCACCAGUGCAGGUCCUGAUGGGGUGGCAAAAGAUAUGACAGAGGAACCCACAUCCGAGGAGGACAAAAGGAGGAAUUAUGGUGGUGUGUAUGUUGGUGUGCAAGGGGAAGCUGCCACCAGGGUUCCCAGUCAAACACAGUCUACCCAGUCAAGCAAAGAAACUGACAAAAACACCAAGGAAUCUAACUAAUACAAGACUGCACAACCUGAAGCCUGUAUUCAAGAGCUGCCAUUAUUGCCUGUUUCUGAUUGUUGGGACUAAAUGACAGAACAACGGUGGUCGUUCAUUUUAAAACCUCUUUUUUUAACCUGUGUCCAGAUUUAUUGUAAUUGGUUGUUUGUGUCAAAGAAUAGUGAUGCCUCAAUGACCAACUGUUAACCAAAGGUUUCCUGUGAUAGCUAUGAGAAACUAGAAAUGUUCUACUGUCUGCCAGAUGAAGAGGUUAGGGGUUUAUUUAACCCAUUGGAAGUGCUUGAAGGCAGUAUUUGUGUAGAUGCUGGACAGUUAAUGUAUCCAGUUAGUGGUUCUUGUAUGUAAGGGACUCAGAGAUCAGUCUUCGUGUGAUAUUUAACUUGACCCAGGUCACUUAUUACCAGAGUUUACUUCAUUAUCUAGAAAAGAGGCAAAUGUAUUAUUUUUCUG